UACGUAGGACGCAAGCGUUAUCCGGAGUUACUGGGCGUAAAGCGCGCGCAGGCGGCUGUCUAAGUCUGAUGUGAAAGCGCCCGGCUUAACCGGGCGAGGCCAUUGGAAACUGGAGAGCUGGAGGGCAGUAGAGGCAGGCGGAAUUCCGGGUGGAGUGGUGAAAUGCGUAGAGAUCCGGAGGAACACCAGAGGCGAAGGCGGGUCUCUGGGCAGUAACUGACGCUGAGGAGCGAAAGCGUGGGGAGCAAACAGG
rnacentral:rRNA from 1 species